GUGACUGAUUUGUGUGUUUCUGCAGAUGUGUUUCCAGCCCGUGAAGUCUCGGAGCUUUGGCCUAAUCUGGUUUCUCUCUCUCCUCUCUCAGGUUCCACCUGUCGUCCCACAUAAAGCGAGUGAAAUCUCUCUUCAGAGAGGAAUGUGUUCAGAGGUAUAAAGAGCUGCUGGCCUCAACAAAGACAUGGAGCAGUGCUUUACAGGAGAUGGAGAACCGACUUCUGGGCUUCAGCUCUUUAUCGACAGGGUUGCUGACAGAUUUGGAAAUGAAUGAGCAGCAUUAUAAUAAGGUUAAUCUGGAUUUUUAAAAAUGUUUUUAACCUUCAUGUACUCCAUUAAAUUUGAUGUUUUGUUCGUUUUUGCGUUUUGUUCUUGCGUUGUGGUUUUCGGUGAAUACUUUAUCCUUGUUCUGUUUUCUCCAGAUUCUAGACAACAUCCUUUCCACCCUGCCGUGUCUGAGAGAAGAACAGCAGCAAGGAAUCACGCCCAGAGAAAAGGAUCAGAUGAUUUCCAGGAUGCACCAUUUGAGGGAGGAAAUGGAGCUGCUGGUGAGAGAACUGCAUUGUAACAACGCCAUCAUUGAAAGCCUCGGAGUGGUGAACUCUGCUGGACAGGAAGCGAGUCCAGCCCGACCUUCCACUUUGUGACAGAGAGGAUCAUCUCACAACAAAGACCCUGCAUUUCCCUCCAGGGACUUGGGCGUAAUCGCUUUCAGAACAUCAGAAAAUUAAUUGCAAUUAAAAGAAAAAAGAAAAAGAAAUCUUGCUUGCACAGAAAGACGGAUGUUGAGCCACAAAUGGACUUUUAGCCGCUGCGUUUGUGCUGACUGAGUACAGCAGUUCAAUAGAAGCCUCAUUAAUGCCUUAAGUGUUAUUGUAUUUUUAAUAGGCUUCUGGAAUGAUGGAGAGUGAGCAUGAAACAAAACCAAUGACCACUCAGCCGCUUAGUAUUUCAUUCGGUGUGUUUCCUGUUUUCUACUCAUAAAAUGUACUUAAGAAAAGAAAAUAUCUGCAUUUUUUUUUUAAAGCAUUUUCUUUUGUGUGUGUCCUACUGUAAACUCCUGGACUGAUUUGAAUCCUUUCUGUGAUCGAUACACAGAAAUAUCAGCAAAAAGAGUUUUUUUGUUUACUUGUGAUCAUCAAUAUUGUGGUUGGGGUCCUGUUACAGCAUCCCUGAGAGACGUAAAUGAUAUUGAGAUACCAAACUGUAGUGUUUUUCACCCAAACUGCUUUUUGUGCAGUUUUUUUUUAGUAUAUAGUUUUGGGAUCUUCUGUAAAAGACAGAAACGGGAAGUCUGGGAAACCCUUAAUCUUCUUGUUUUCAGGUUAUGUGGGGCUGACACAUUUCAAAAUUACCCUCGACAGUUUGGUCUUCUCUGUUUAGGGGAAAUCCCGCGCAAUGUUAUUUGUCGUUUGGUGAAUGAUAUAUACUGUAAAUAUGAGGUUAUUCAUGUAUGAAAAAAAUAAAAGUAGAUUUCUGCCUCUUUUUUCCAAUUCAGUAUGAAAAUAAAAUUAACCCAAUAUCAAUCAAACUAUAUGAAAUCAGAGAUUUAUAGACAACACUUUGAUAUUUUAAGAAAGUAAACGGUUUUUCUGAACAAAAAUAAAAGUAAACUUGUUCUCCUAAAGAGUAGUGAAAGUAGAAGUCUGAGUGUGCAGGUGGUGUGGGCGUCCUGCUGGACUUUUUCAGCUGCUUGUGGUUUUGUUGCUGCUCAUAUGACGCGCUCUUGGCGAAGUGGAAAGUUUGAUAUUUUUCUCACUCGAACAAACAAGUGAGAUUUGUUUUAGAUGUUUAUAUGGUUCCGCAUCAAAGCAGAAUUUUGUGCACACGUACCCACUUUGCCUUACAAUAAAUAUUUAGGUCAAUCUAAAAAUAAAAUGAAGAAUUUAUUUUCAUUUAUUAACAAUGCAGGACACCAAAACAAGAUGAAAUUAUAACUUAAUAAAUGAAAAGUUAAACUUAUAUAAUCUGCUCCUAUUACUAAAUAAACAAAAAUAAAUCAAAGUACAUUAAACAAAGAAAAUGAAAGUUAUCAAUAAAAAGCUAUUAAGUCCAGUUUACAUUUUAAAUAAACAUAAAUACGUACAAAUUUACAAAACAAACCCUUGUUUUUUGAUAUUUAUCUAUAAGGUUCAGGAGCAUCAUCUACUUGAAGUUUUAGAAAUUAAUUCUAUAUAUAAUAUUUGCUUAGUAUCUCAUUUUAAAGGCAGCAAAUGAAUUUAAGCUCCUUUGCUCAGUUUAUUCCAUAUGUUAGAUCCAUAUACUGAAGCAGAUCUCUCCAGCGCUUUUGUUCUAAAUCUUGAUUUUCUGAAUAUUUCAUGUCCUUUUAAGUCAACAUGAGUUUGUCUUUUAUUGAAUUUAACCUGUAAAUUGACUGGUAUUUACUGUAUUUCUUGUGUACUUUAAUACAUAAAGUUGAGAAUGUUGAAAUCAACUACAAAUGUUAGUAUUUUCAAAUGAAUAAAUAGUGAUCCUGGUGAAUCUCUAUUUACUUUUUUCUCUUUCUGGGGCUCUGCCCAUUUUAUUCAUUUUGAAGUCACUACGUGAUGACACAUGUUGCUUCUUCUUUGCCAGUUCGCCCUUGUAAAUCAGAUCUUGAUCUUAACAAAUCCUUUAUUUGGUUAAAUAAAGACAAUAAUUAAAAAAAC
ensembl:lncRNA